GAUCAGUUUAUAACUAACAAUAUAAUGAAUAAUUCAGAUGUGAGGAGAUUAAAACAAGUUUAAAGAUGCAUCAAUUUCAAAAUAAUUGAUUAGUAUUCAUCCACUUAUUAGUUACGUAGUUAGUUAUAAACAAGGCUGUUGAUCGGUGAUUAAUUGCAAUAUGGCGAUAAUAUAUUGCUGAUCGUAGUAUUGCAAUUGGUCCUCACCUAUAUAGCGCUAUAUCGCAACUGAAAUAGAAAAAAAAAUCAAUACGAUCUAUUUGUACGACAUUACAUUUCGUGUAAUAGUGUUGUGGUUUUCGAGACAGUUCUUUGUCUUGUGACUGCUCUGGAGACUGUUUUUUUUACAGUUUUGGCCUCAUCUUGUUCUUGACACAACCAAAUCUUGGGUGUCGCUCAAUUCAAGGUUAACCAUAUAGACAGCUGUCUCAGGAUGCGCAAAAA
rnacentral:lncRNA from 1 species